rnacentral:rRNA from 1 species
CCGACGGUGAGAGGCGAAAGCUGGGGAGCAAACCGGAUUAGAUACCCGGGUAGUCCCAGCUGUAAACGAUGCGCGUUAGGUGUGUCAGUGACCACGUGUCACUGAUGUGCCGAAGGGAAACCGUGAAACGCGCCGCCUGGGGAGUACGGUCGCAAGGCUGAAACUUAAAGGAAUUGGCGGGGAGCACCACAACGGGUGGAGCCUGCGGUUUAAUCGUACUCAACGCCGGAAAUCUCACCGGAUAAGA